rnacentral:rRNA from 1 species
UACGAAGGGGACUAGCGUUGUUCGGAAUUACUGGGCGUAAAGCGCACGUAGGCGGAUUUGUUAGUCAGGUGUGAAACCUCCAGGCUCAACCUGGAGACGCCACCUGAUACUGCUGUGGCUAGAGUCCGGUAGGGGAGCGUGGAAUUCCUGGUGUAGCGGUGAAAUGCGCAGAUAUCAGGAGGAACACCAGCGGCGAAGGCGGCGCUCUGGGCCGGAACUGACGCUGAGGCGCGAAAGCGUGGGGAGCGAACAGG